GACGAACGCUGGCGGCGUGCCUAAUACGUGCAAGUCGAGCGGACCUCUUCGGAGGUCAGCGGCGGACGGGUGAGUAACACGUGGGCAACCUGCCUGUAAGACUGGGAUAACUUCGGGAAACCGGAGCUAAUACCGGAUAAUCCUUUUCCACUCAUGUGGGAAAGCUGAAAGACGGCGCAAGCUGUACCUUACAGAUGGGCGCGCGGCGCAUUAGCUAGUUGGGGGGGUAAUGGCUCACCAAGGCGACGAUGCGUAGCCGACCUGAGAGGGUGAUCGGCCACACUGGGACUGAGACACGGCCCAGACUCCUACGGGAGGCAGCAGUAGGGAAUCUUCCGCAAUGGACGAAAGUCUGACGGAGCAACGCCGCGUGAGCGAUGAAGGCCUUCGGGUCGUAAAGUUCUGUUGUUAGGGAAGAACAAGUACCAGAGUAAUUGCUGGUACCUUGACGGUACCUAACCAGAAAGCCACGGCUAACUACGUGCCAGCCGCCGCGGUAACAC
rnacentral:rRNA from 1 species